UACGUAGGGGGCAAGCGUUGUCCGGAAUCAUUGGGCGUAAAGAGCGUGUAGGCGGUCUGGUAGGUCCGUUGUGAAAACUCGAGGCUCAACCUCGAGACGCCGAUGGAAACCAUCAGACUAGAGUCCGGAAGAGGAGAGUGGAAUUCCUGGUGUAGCGGUGAAAUGCGCAGAUAUCAGGAAGAACACCCGUGGCUAAGGCGGCUCUCUAGUACGGUACUGACGCUGAGACGCGAAAGCGUGGGGAGCGAACAGGAUUAGAACGUACCGACGUAGU
rnacentral:rRNA from 1 species